AUCAUGGUGAUUAGUGUCCUGACUUGCAUGUGAAUUCCAUUUUAGUGAUCCAGAAUUGCACAAAAUUGGCAGACUUACUCUCAGAGUCAUCAAAACCCAGUGACAAGACAAAAGUCAGGAGGACUGGAGAUAGCCUGGAUGUGGCGGAUGACCUUGGUGUCUUCAAGGUCUGACCAAGUUCUAAGUACUCCACAGUGCUUGUUUCAGCCACCUUUAUGCAUAUUGGAAUGAUUUGUUCCUGUCCUCCCAUUCCAUCCAGGUGCUGUUCAGGAGCUGUAAAAAUGGAUGAUUUCCCUCUGGAAUGUUGUAGGGUCCACACUGAUGACCUGGACGGAGAGAAGAAAAGACAAGGUCCAUCAAUCAUGAUCUGCCGCAGAGAGAACACUGAAAGCCUCCACUUCCUCUUGUCUUCUUCUUGCCACAGAAUCUCUAAGUUGGAAGGGACCCCAGAAGUCUAGUCUUACCUACACUUGAAUAGAAAUUUUUUGCCAGCGUCCCUAGC
rnacentral:lncRNA from 1 species